CGUUGAAGCACCGCUUCCCGUGUGAUUACUGUAGUUAAACAACGUCGAGCUUGGUCAGUACCUUGAUGGGUGACCGCUUGGGAAUACCAGGUGCUGUAA